GUGGGGAAUAUUGGACAAUGGGCGAAAGCCUGAUCCAGCCAUGCCGCGUGUGUGAAGAAGGUCUUCGGAUUGUAAAGCACUUUAAGUUGGGAGGAAGGGCAGUAAGUUAAUACCUUGCUGUUUUGACGUUACCAACAGAAUAAGCACCGGCUAACUUCGUGCCAGCAGCCGCGGUAAUACGAAGGGUGCAAGCGUUAAUCGGAAUUACUGGGCGUAAAGCGCGCGUAGGUGGUUCAGCAAGUUGAAGGUGAAAUCCCCGGGCUCAACCUGGGAACUGCCUCCAAAACUAAUGAGCUAGAGUACGGUAGAGGGUAGUGGAAUUUCCUGUGUAGCGGUGAAAUGCGUAGAUAUAGGAAGGAACACCAGUGGCGAAGGCGACUACCUGGACUGAUACUGACACUGAGGUGCGAAAGCGUGGGGAGCAAACAGGAUUAGAAACCCGGGUAGUCC
rnacentral:rRNA from 1 species